CUUAUUAUAAAAUAAGUAAUAAUUUACCUAGUCAUUAGCCAGUAUUAUAGCUAGCUGCAGGCUUGUAUCUGAGCGUAAUUCUUAUCACAACUGGAACGUCUGGAGCCUCCAAUACUAUGUGGAUUUAUUUUUAUGGAGGCAUGUUUGGAACCAGAUUAGAACGUUCACAAACCAGUUUCCCUUUUUUUUGUUUGCGUUCAUAUCAUUUGCGGUUAUCAAACACUCGCAUUUUUAAAACAGAUUCCCACCAAGUUGAACUUAUCGUAUUUUCUUAAUUUUUUUUGUGAACAUGUUUAACCGAUGAAUGAAAAUCAUGUCUCUUUUAUCGUGCUUUGGCCGGAAAAGCUCUAACCACCAAUAUGAAGAUUAUGUUGAUUUUAUAGAUAUGAACAACUCGGAUCUAGUUGAUGUACCAUUACAUAUAUUUCUAUAUGAAAGGACCCUGGAAAAAUUAUUAUUAUCUUCCAAUCAUAUUAAAGAUUUACCUUCACCUUUAUUCCAUUGCGGUCAGCUAAAAGUACUACAUAUAAGUGACAAUAGAUUAGAACAUCUUCCAAAAGCAAUUGGAUCUUUGGUUAAUCUUGUUGAGCUAGAUGUGAGCAGAAACUAUUUAUCAACAAUUGAUGAAAACAUUAAGAAUUGUAAAAGACUUUCUAUUUUAAACUUAAGUGCUAACCCUAUUUCAAUAUUCCCAAUACCUUUGACGCAAGUAUUGUCUUUAGAAGAACUCUGUUUAAAUGACACACAAUUAGAAUUUAUACCAGCAAACAUUGGUAGACUUAUCAAUCUAAGAGUAUUAGAAUUAAGGGAUAAUAAAAUAUCUCAAAUACCCAAAGCAGUUUCACGUUUGAUGCAAUUAUAUAGACUUGACAUCGGACAAAAUGACUUCAUUGAUUUUCCUACUGCAAUAAGUGAUCUUUAUGGAUUACAUGAGCUGUGGAUUGACUCCAAUGAUAUUGUUGACAUUCCUUCAGAUGUUAGCAAUCUACAUGAACUAUGGUAUUUUGAUGCUAGUUAUAAUAGAAUUUCAAAAAUUGAUCAAGAUAUUCAAUAUUGCUCAAAAUUAAAAGAUCUACAUUUAUCAUUUAACAAUUUAAAGAGUUUACCGAAUUCAAUGAAACACUUACAUGAUUUAGUCACAUUGAAGGUGGAUCAUAAUUGUCUGAAACAAAUGAAUAGUAUUUUUGAAGGUCUUCAGUGCCUAGAAGAACUUGAUGCUUCUUACAAUUGUUUAGAAACUUUAUCACCUACUGUUGGUUUAAUGAGAAGAUUAAAUACCUUACGUUUGGAUGCCAAUCGAUUAACCAGCUUACCAACUGAAAUUUGUAGCUGUAGAAGCUUAAGAGAACUCAGCCUACGAUCUAAUAAUUUAUCAAGUAUGCCCGAUGGCAUUGGAAGCUUACAAAAUUUAGUUGUUUUAAUGUUGACACAAAACAAGAUAACAAAUCUUCCCCUUUCAGUUCUUAAGUUAAAAAAUCUAAAUGCACUUUGGCUUUCCGAAAAUCAAAGCAAACCACUGACACCUUUACAAAAUGAUUAUGAACAUGAGACUGGAAAACAUAUUUUAACUUGUUAUUUAUUACCACAAAGAGAAGAGAGUUAUAUAGAAAUUAAAGAUCAAAAUCAUAAACCUCUUAAAACAAAUACAAGAAUCAGGUUUACUGAGGAUUCUGGUUUAGAAGAACCAGGAAAUUUAAUGAGAGUUCCUACACCACAUCCAAAAAAAAUGAGAGCAUUUGCAAAAAUGUUAUUGGAAAGGAAAAAAAAAAAAUAAUGAAUUAUCAAGUGAAUUUGACACACAACUUCCUACUGAAAUUGAUAAUUGCUCAAUAAUAGAUCAUGAAGCGGAAAAAAUGGAACAACUUUAUCAAAUGAAAAAUUGUGUGAUUGAGCCAGAAAAAAUAUAUGAACCAAAAAUGAACACACAAAGAGUUCCGCCUCCAUACCAUAUUGCAGCGGCAUACUCAAAACAAGUAACAUUUUUUAAUAAUGAAAAUCUUAGCUGAAAUAAAGGUAGGUGAUCAAAUAAAUGAAAAUAUUUGAGAUAUAUACAUAAUAAUUUUCACAUUAUUAUAUGAUAAAACUAUACUAUACUAAAAUAUCCUAAUCAAAUUCAUCUUAUGUUUUGUUUUUGUAAAAAAAAAUUUUUUAUGACUAAUGUAAAUUUUUAACAGAUCCUAAUUUUAAAAUUGAGAUUUAUAUUUUUAAUAUUUGCUUUUUUAUUCAAAUGUAUUUAUAAUUUUAAAAUGUACUAAUCCAAUUAGAGAUAGUUUAUUAUAACAACUAAUUAUGUAUAGAAAUCAAAAAUACCGCUUUAUUCGUCUGAACCCGUUGAUUUUAAAAUUAAAUGUAAUUUUAAAUAAUUAAUUUAACUGUAAAACAUCUACCUUUGUGAUCUUAACAUUUGUAUAAGUGGUUUAAUGUAUUGAAUUUUUGUAUUUCAGUUAUAAAACUUUAACAUAGAGAUUAGGAAUUUUUAUGGUAUAACUAUAGAAUCAAAUUUAGUUAUAGUAUUUUCUCAGUAAGCACAUCUAUAUACAAUAAUUUGUACUAUUAUUCUCAUUCUUAAGUUCUAUUGAUGAAUAUGACAUUUAGUGAGAUUUUUGUAUCUAGCUGUUAACAAAGUACAAAUUAAUAAUUAAAUCUUAGAUUUUAAUUUAUAUGUUUAUUAU